AACAGUCAACGUUUUUUUUUUCAACCACAUGGAGGAUAUAGUUGAUGUGUGGAGUAUAAGUUUUUUAGUCAAAUUUUAGAUGAAUAUUCUUUCCAUGGUGAUUAGGUUUUAUUCAGAUGAGUCUUCUUUCCUGCAAUGAUUGCCUGCUUGCCUUAUUCUUCUGGGCAAUGCAUUCCAUUAACCACAUAUGAAGAUUAGUUGUGUUUCCUUGAUACUCCCAGAAAUUAGAGUUACCAAAUUGGUUUAUAAGCACAAUUGCAUGCUUUGGAAUGCAAAAUUGAGUAAGCAGCAGAAGGAUCAGAAUAUAAGCUGGCUGAAUGACAGCCAGUCUUGCCUAUAAGAGUGCUUGCCCAAUAGCCAGUUUCUUUUUUUAUUCGGGCAUUAUAUGGUAGCUACACUUAAAGUUGUGUAAAACAAACUGCAUUUUAGGAAAGGUUUCCUCAGAUUUGUACACCACUUAGUGAGGCAAAUACGAUUUUUGUUUUUCCAUCAAACUACUCCUAAUUAUACUAAGUAAGCUCUUCUGAUCCCCAUAGAAACAUUCUAAUUUUUCGCAGUAGGAAUUUUCUAUAAUAGGUCUCGCAAGACUAUAAAUUUCUAAUCACUGUUAAUUGAGCAUGGAUGAAUUAAUGAUAGGUGCAGUGUAGAGGUCAUGGUAAAUGCAGCAAACUGGAGUAGUGGACAGUAGCUACCAUUCUGUGACUAUGCAGAGCCCCUGUUGUGUGUGACACCUAAUCCAAUAGUCGCCUUCCUAUACAUACAACGAAUGGGCUAACUUUCAUAUUGCCCAGCAUUGCAAAUCUUGUCUUUGAUCUUAAUUCUCUCUGCCGCAUCCUUUUUAGUAUAGUUGUGCCAUUCUUUUCUUCCUUGUGCAAAUUUGCCCAGGAAUUUUUAUAUCAUUAGGUAAGAGCCUAAAAUUAAACUCAUUUUGGGCUUUAUGUAUGCAAAUACUGAUCUGGGAGUUAGUGGGUAUAAGACAUUAUUAUUACUUUAGGUGAAUGAGGUUGUUAAUGAUAAAAUUUGGAUCAAGGGAAGGUGACGUGAAGGUAUUUUUGUGAUUCAGAAUGAAUGAAUAGAAUAUAUUGUGUUAUUAGGGGAAGGUGGUUGAGUCUGAUGCGUUUCUGGUGCUGUGGGUAUACUGACAUUUGGAGGACAUUUUGAUGUACAACCCAGAAGAAUAGAGGAUCAAAAGAAACAAAUUCUCAAGAAUAAUGAGAAAUUCUAGAUCAAAGAAACAAAUUCUCUAGAGAAACAAUUUCUCAAAACUUUAUUUAUAUCAAUUGUAUAAUGUCAUAAGUCAUAACAAAACUAAAUUUAGCAGAAAACUUAGGCCCAUAUGUAUAGAGUAUUUGCAAUUCUACUAGCUUUAGGACUAGGAAUCCUAAAUCCAA
rnacentral:misc_RNA from 1 species